rnacentral:lncRNA from 1 species
UCCCUCGGGAAAUCGCACCAUUCGCCACUGUACAACAAAUUGAUGUUCACAGCAUAAUAAUUAUCCAUGUGCUGCAAACAAUAGGCCACACAAUUACCAACCAGGACAAUGCCCUACACAGGGCAAAGUAAAGUUACAAAAUGAGGUGAUUGUACAGAUAGUUGAGGAAAUAGCCCCACAAAAAAAGGGAGGUGGGCAAGUUGUCAUUUAUUGAGCAUUGUUCAGGAAGGAAGAGUUACAAAUAACUGAAUUUUCCUGAACACCAAAACUUAUUGUUUAAGCACAAAAUGUUUCAUUUUCAAAAUGCAUUCAUUGUGGAUGGAUAUCUUACUUAAAAUGUAUUAUUAAUCCUUCUCUCUAGUUAAACAGAGUCUAUAAAUGUGAUUAUAUUUUGAUAGUUCUCUCGAUUAAACAAACAAACAAAACAUUUAUUAGGGAAAGGUGGCCCAGAAACUACUACCUGGGUUAAGAAUGUGACCACAUUCUUGUAAUGCCUCCCAUUUUCUACAGAAGGAUGGCAUGAAGACAUGUAAGUACACUUGUAGAGGCAUUAUUCCAAAGGAGUUCACAGGUUCCUAUGUAAACCCUGCAGGUGCAAAGCAACAUAAGCCAAACAGAUGAUAUUUCUAAAAUUAAAUGAGAUACAACUACAGACACUUAAAAUAAUUUGAUGCUAUUUUUGUGAACCUCAUUUUCUUACUAGAGACUGGAGCAUAACGGAAUAUUUUGGAAUUGAAGCAGCUUAAUGUUGAAGGUUCUGCACUUGUCUUGAAGCUCAGACUGCCUGGGUGCAAAUCUCAUCCAGCAUGUAAUAACUGUGUGAUGCUGGAAAUAUUUUUUGAAUCAUUAUAAAAGUCUGGAUUCUGAUCCACAAAAUAGAAAUAAUUAUGAUCCCUCUAUUGUAAUUUUAAAAUAAGAUCAUCCUUGCAAAAUAUUUAGCCCUUCUGUUGGCACUUAGUAAGGGCUCUGUAAAUGUUAGCAAUUUAAAUAAGAAAAUGGGGAGGGAAAUUGGUUCAAUAGGAAUCCAGAGAUGAAAAUAUAAAUAAUAAGCAUGUGAAAGACUAUAAAAGGAAUGAGUGUAAAAACUAAAGGAAUAGAGAAAAAUAAAGAAAGAGUAUUUAGAGGACACUAAGUCAAUUUUUUAGAUCACCAUGCCCUCAACUGUUCAAGGAAAAAUCACUAUUUCGAUAUUAAAAAAUAUUUAUUGUGCCACAUCACAGACUAGACACAAUGCCAGACGCCAUUAAAUUAUGUAAUGUAGCCUAUUCUGCACCAACAUCUUUGAGGUGGAUUUUGUCUUUGUCAUUUUGUAGGUGAGAAAACCAAAACUCAAAGGAAUACUGUAGGUCAUAUGGUAAGAAAGAUUUGUAAAUAUCAUUUAAAUAUAGUAUCUUUUGGCUCUAAAUCCAAUGUGCUCUUCCCCCAACACAGAGCUUAUGUACAUGUUUUCCUUCCUUCUCCCCUCUCCUCUUGCUGACCCAUUUUCUACUUCUCUUCCUGUUUUUUGAGCACUCCUUAUGUGUGAAACACUGAAAAAAAAGAAAGUUAAAAUUUGUUCUUUGUCUGUAGUGAUUUUACAGUCUAUUGGAGGACAAAAGCAUGUGAAAAGAUGCAUACAAUUUAACAGGUGACUUCAACAGGGACAUGCAUGGAGUGCCAUUGUUUCUCACAUCAACAUCUGUGCCUGGAAUACAUUCUCUUUGUUUCAGGCUCCCAGAUCCUGAUAUCCUUCUAUCUUUCAAGCCUCAGCUCACGUUUAUCAUUCUCUCCCAUAACUAUACAUACUCAGUGAUUCCCUUUUAUUUGAAUCACUCUUGUGAUUUAUUGUCUAUAUCUGAAGAGCCUAUUAAGAUGCACAGCAUUUGGCAUCACCUCCAGAGUUUAAUAUUUGGAAUCUGGGGUGGGCCCUGAGAAUUUUCACUUUAACAAGUUCCUAGAUGAUCUUGCUGCUGCUGCUCCAGGGAGCAUGCACAGAGCACCAUUUACUACCCCAAAGGGCUCCCUCAGCAUUUGCCAAACAUUCCCUCUGGUCUGAGCUAAUGUUCCUGUUGCAUAGAUCCAGUUUCCUACCUAGCUAUUAGUCCCUUGAGUCCAAGAGAUAUUUCUUCUUACUCUUUGUACCUUCCCAUAGCGAUUAGAAAAGCAUGCCAGUCAAUAGUAAGUGUAGAGGAAGUUUGUUUAACUUGACUGGUUGAUUAGUGGGUUGAUUUACUGCCAGCUCAGUGGCUGUUUCUCUCCCAUUACUUCCACCUCCCAUGAGGACUGCACCUGCGGCAGCGAUUUUAUGUGAACUUGGAUUACUGUAUGGAAAUGGAGGUGAGCAUAUGUAGAUAUUUGUAUUAUCGUAUCUUUCAAAUAACAUCUCUCAAAUAAUGAUACUUGUAAAACUUUUCCUCAUGUUUAUUUGCAGGGUAAUGCAUAGACAGUUGCCUUGGAAACACUCACUCUGAAUAUUCUAAAUUUUCUAUAAUGGAAAAUCUUGCCUUUACCUUAUAAUUUAUAGUCUCUCUCAUUUUUGGAUUUUGCUGAGAAUACAUAAUGAGAUCCAAAUGCUGAUAAAUGUCAUUUUCUGAGGACAUAAUUGUUAUAUUCAUGUAUUAGUUUUGUUAUAAACUCAUUGUUGUCAGUCAGGCUUCUGAAGGACAAUUAUCUAAUAAAAAAUAAAAUUUUAACUAAGGCUAUUUAAAGUUGUGUUUUAACUGCCCUCUGUAUAGUGUCCAUUUCUUUUUUACUUGUACAUUUUAAAAUAUUAGUUUUUUUAUUAUCUCUUCCCUCAUAAAUCAGAAUUAAAGCUGUCAUUUCCACAUUUGUGUUUGUAGAACUGUUAGGCAACUUCUUUUUUAAUGUCAUUAAAUACCAACUAGCCUUAAUAAUUCAGAACAUCUGGUUCCAAAAACCCGAUUACAGGGCACAGUCGUAACACAUUGCAUUUUCUACUAGACUCAGCAUAGUCUCCAUUAGUUAUUGUUCCUGUUUACUCAGUUUUGAGCUAGACUCUCCCAGAGUACCAAUUAUGUCCUGAGAGCAAGUCAGCACACACACAAGGUGAAGAACAAGUUUGACAAUUAUCCUAUUAAUUUGAUCUAUGUUUACAUGUAUAUAGCCAAACCAGAUAAUUCAGUACAAAUAACUCACCCAAAGGACUUAUUAUCUGGGCUGGUUAUCUACAUAGAUCAAACUAGAUCUUAAUAACUCCCAAAUUUCCACUUUACUUUAUGUCCUAUAGACAUAACCAAAGGUGAUUCUACCUGCUCCGGCCUACGCAUGCCGAGCUGUUUCUACAACAGUGGAUUCAGCUUUCAAACUUAUCACAUAAUUACAGAAAAGUUCUUGAAGACUAGAGGUAUCAAAAAUAGCUACUAAUGAGUUAUUAUUGCAUUUAUUAUUUCUAAAUCAACAGGAAUGUAAAAUUUAUUUGCAUUGUCAUUAUCUCUUCUGUGUAGCAUGAAGUCUAAGAUUCAUUUAAAUAUCUGUUCUCAGUCAGGGUCCAUCUGACCACUUAUAUACAGGUACCUCUAACGGAAGAUCCAUCCUCAAUGUGGGUGACAAUCAGCUUGGAGCCCAGAUAGAAAAAAAAAAAAAAAAGAAUUUCCUCUCCGUCUCCUGGAGCUGGAAGACUCUCCUUUAAAAAAAAAAAAAAAAAUCCCCAGUAAAUCCAUCUGCGUGUUUCCCUGUUCCCACCUACCUACAGGAGUGAGAAAGUGUGGGAAUCAUAAAAGAAGGCAGAACCAAAAGACAGAGGGAUCUUGGGCCAUGAGUCACAGCAAGGAAAGCCUCCCACCAAACAUCUGCACUGGACUCCUACAGGAACAAGAAAUGAACUAUCGUGUUCAGCCCCUGAGACUUGGGCUUAACAUGAUUUUCACAUUGUCUACCCUACCUAAUAGAGCAGAGAUGUAAAUAUUAUUCUUAUUUUAGAGGUAAG